UCCGAAGUAGCUCAGUGGUAGAGCAACCGGCUGUUAACCGGUUGGUCGUAGGUUCGAGUCCUACCUCCGGAG
rnacentral:tRNA from 3 species